rnacentral:lncRNA from 1 species
UUUUUGGCUUGACCAGAAGCAGGAAGAGUAGGAAAUGUUAUUUUAAAAAGUCCCGUUUUUCACACUGCUGAUGUCUGGAGAGUCGAGAUAAGCUUUGAGCCUACUUCCAAAUCUCUGGGUGCUCCUCCAAGCGUGCUGGAAAUGGGGGUGUGAAACAUAGCUUGCUGAGCUGUCAAGAGGCAAGAUAAGGCAUUUGCAAUUGGCAGUGUUUCAAAGGACUCCAGAUUUCUCCAAAGAACCUAGAUUUCCCAGGUACUGAACAUGUGCAAAAUAGAAACAAACAUUCAAGAUGAGUGAGUGAUGAGUUCUGCCUGUGGUCAGAAGAAAACAACACUCCCAACUCUGCAACCUGAUCACUUCCCUACUUAGUCCUGUUUGUGGAGCCGCCUUAUUAACGACAUUAGAACAAAGAUAUGAAGCAGACAAUGAGGUCCUCCACCAGUGCUUCCUAGAACCUGGGGACAACACAGUUGUUAUGCAGCCAAUCCAUGCCCUGGAUGCAAGUUUCGCAGGCUCCAGUAUCAUUCUGGUCAUUCCUCUGCAAAACACUACUGAAAAAGCAAUUCCAGGAAAUAUGUAAAUUUGUUGCUGAACUGUUAUAAAAAUAUGGAAAUUUAAGCCGCAGACAUCAAAGCAUUUUUUCCUAAAAAAAACACCACGUUAAUAAACUGAAGAGUUACACUACAUUAUGGUGUCAGGAUAAAUUCCUUACUCUAGACCUUCCCUGUUCUCUCUUCUGUGCUCUGGGCGCAGCAUCUGGUACUCACAUUUUCCACGUUGCCAUUAGGAGAAAGUGAAUAUCAUUAAACCACUAAAGGAAUUGACAAAGGGAUUGUGACCUGAUGCUUCACAAUGAGAACCCUGUUGUGAUUAAAUGGUUAAGUUGAAAGUUAAUGGAAGCUGCAAAGUGUUUGCCUUCUGUAUCUGCAAUGGAAACCCCACCUGCUGUCUUCUUGGUGUUUUUGUUCCUUGUCUUUAAGACCUGGUCUCAAAUUCAGAAGUUCAAUACCAGCGUCAGUUUGACUUGACACAAUCUAUGGUUGUAGUGUAUUGAUUUCACAAAUUGAACCUAUGAAAUGAAACUCUGUCAUCAAGAAGCUAUUGGACACCUAUAUGGACAUGCAUUUACCUCUCUGCCCAGUGCAAUUAUUUAUAAAUGUCUGUGGAAGAAUAGAGAGAGGAGGGAGGAAAGGAAGAAUAGAUUAUUCUGUGUCUUUCAGGAAGAGAGAGACAAGAAAAGAGAAAAUAUGAAAAACACUAGAGCAACACCUAACUCUUGAUUCCUGGGUUAGAGAAGGCUUUUUGUGAGAAGCCUAACACUAGAAGGCUAUGAAGGAGUUUGCCGGCAGCUCUGUGGAGUAAAGAUAGAAGAGCAAGCACAGAGACAAGGAGGCCAGUAAAGAAGCUGAUGUGUUGAGUGAUGGAGGCUGGAAAUAAGGCCAAGUCAAUGGGAAGAGAAAGGAAGGAGAUCAUUCAAGAGAUGCUAUGGAGAGAAAUACUCAACCUGAAGGCCAACGUGGCAUCAGAGCUAAAGGAGAGGACACUGCUUGGAAUGAGUCCCAGAUUCCUGACUUGGGCCAAGGAGUAACUGGUGAUACUUUUUUUUUUUUUUUUUUUUUUUUUUUUUGAGAUGGGGUCUCAUUCAGUCACCCAGACUGGAAUGAUGAUGCCAAUUUUUAACAGAGGACUUUAUAUAGUCACUUUGUCCUACCCCCACUCCCACUCAAAACCAUCUCCUAAGCAGUAGUACAAGAGAAUUAAAUUCAGUAAGUACCACAAUAGAGAAAAUGUUGCAAUAUUUCAGAUGAGGUGAUUGUACAGAAUUAUAGGAAAAAAAUCAGAUUUCAGAAGUUUUCACAAUGGGUAAAGAGGAAAAGAGAGGCAGAAAUAUUGACCACUCAAAACUAUUCAAGAAGAUUAGCAGAAAAAGUAGAGAAUUAAAACCGUAGACAACCAUGAAUGAACAUCCAAAAUGUCCAAAAAAAAAAAGUCCUCAGAUCACCUGGACUACAAGAAUUUUCCAAAUAGAAAUAUGCUUAGUGAAAUCAGCAUUUCACUUUGGGGCCUCAUUUGGGUGGUGAGUAAAAGAACAUGCACUGGGGUCAUUCCCUGAAGUCUGUGACACUGACCAUAGGAGGUUUAUGGCUCCCUCUUCCUGGUCUGUUCCUGGCCUGUUUGUGACAUAGAACACUGGACACCCUUCUAGGCUUUCACAUCAUGAUGAUACAGUGAGAAGGCCACAGUUCCAUGAGUAUAGCCUAUAUCUACUUGAGGAUGUUUCAAAAUUAUUUUUAAGGUGGCUAGGAAUAGUCUUAUGCCCUUUGUCUAGAAAGAAAAGACCUGUCAGUACUCAGGCCCCCAUGCAUCAUCAUCCCACUUCAGUCAGUUCAGAAUGUACCAAAAUGCAUGGUGGGUGCAUGUAUCUAACUAAAGUGUUAGAAUUUUCAUUACUAGGAUAAUUGCCUUCACAGAUUGUGUUCCACUGCCAGGACAGGGGUAGAGUCCACAAAUGGUUCUGAGACAUGAUUUGAACUGCCAAACUUUGAAACACAGAGAAACGGAAAGCUGAAGCAAGCAGAACCCCAUUAAAUGCCCAACCCUAUGAUCUCUUGGGAAAUGUAUCCCCAUCGAGCCUUUUCCCCUCCCUUCCCACCCGCUUUGGUAAUAGUUCUGAGCAAGGAUCAGCUUCAGCUGUGCAACAUGCUGGCCAAAAUUUCAGAAACCCUGGAACCAAUUUAUUCCAUCUGGAAAUUAGUUUCAGCUUUUAUUGCUGUAGAAUUUAGUCAAACCAGACCCUAUAUCCAAAAGGAGUUCCCUGCUUCUUUACUGUUAAAAUUUUUUCUCUUCUAAAGCACACUCACUUAAAAGAUUUAAAAUGAUAAUCAACAUCAAAGAUCUGUGACUUUUUUUCCCACACCAGAUACAUUUUCCCAUGCAGUGUUUCUCCCAGGUUGCUCUCUUUCAAAGACAUAAAGAAAUUUUACCAUUGAUUACCAUAAACAGGGGAAUCUGGAGAAUUUAAACUGUCCUCUUGUAAAUGUAUAUUUUAGUUAACUUUUCUAUUAUGCCAGGCAGUGACUCACUUGCUUUCCUAAAACAGCAGCUAGAUGGACUGCUUAAUCUUCUUGCCAGAAAAAUACAGAACAAAAUAUUAACAAUUAAGUUCAAAUAAAAUCUUGGCCCCUAAAAUCAGUUUUUACAAACAUAUAAAAAAGUAUGCAAUGCUGAACGUUUCAAAUAGCCUUGUACAUAAAAUUUCUUUGUUUCAGUCCAUCUGCUACUGAUUAAACAUUUUAUAUUUCCAUUGUGAUUAAUUAUGCUAUUUAUAUACUUGAAAAUGAUUUGUUUGGAAAGGUAUGGUCUAGUGUAAGUCUUUCAUUUCUGAGAAUGACAGCCCUUCCAAAAGUAGAGCAACACAAUGCUCUCAGGAAAUCCACCAUCUGCUUUCUUAUGCUUUUAUAACAAAUUACAAACCUAUAGCAAAACAGAAUUGAGAGAAAACAGAGUAUAAAUAAUGCUAAUGGCAUUCAUUUGAGAUGUUCAAAAAUGUAUCCACUUUUAAUUAAGCCAAGAUACUCUCUUGGUCCCCAAAGAAAACUGCUUUAGAGUUAAAUCGCCAAAUGGCCAGACAUUUUCAACCUGGUCUAGGAGGCAUUCUUAAUUCAUUCUAAUCUAGGCUGAAUUUAUCAGGUAUUAGAACAGACCAAGAUGGUGGACACCAGGCCUCUGUGUCACCUUAAUCCCAUGAAAAGAACCGGAUUAGAGUUAUAAUAAACAUAAUUGAGAAAAAGACAUGCUCUGGACAGUGUGUGAUAGACCAUUUUUCAACAUGACUGUUUGUUGGUGCCAACAGACAGGAAGGACCUAGUGCCAGCUAUUUCCCAUCAUUUGAAACUUAACUAUUGUUUCAGUUUUGCAUGACCAAACAGGCAUCUGAAACCACAGAAUAAAACCAUUUUAUUCUGCCUAGCCAAACCAUUUUCAGUGAAAUUUCAUAAAUCCAAACAAUCUUGCCCUCAGACUAGAAUAAAAGUAUGCCAAAUAUCAGGACGUGAUUUUUUUUCUUUUAAUGACUACUGUCCAUCUCCAGAAAGAAGGAUUCUGUAGCAAGGAAUCCUCCUAAAGACCAUCAGCAAAGGUAGCCAGCAGCCACAACUGACAUUCUGCUUACUCUCUCUUUCUAGCAGAUGCCCUCCUCAUUAACACACCCAGGGCUUCUGUGGCUCCGUGUGCACUGCAAACCAUUAGCUUGCUCUAGUGUCUCUGUCUUUCCUCUGCUGUUUUCUCCAUCCCAACUGAAAGCUAUUCUAUGAUUUCUGGCAUCUCUAUUAAGUAGUGAGUCGCAUGGAAAUGAUUAACUUUUGAACUGCAAAACUGAAAACACUCUCUUGCAGACUGUGGAAAUGAAACAUGUCAUGCAGCAAACGGUUUCCCGUGAUGGAGUUUGCAGCAAGAAAGAGAAAUCAUUGGCUGAGAUUUCGGUUUUGUUGUUGUCAUUGUAGAUCAAAAGGAUGUGAUCAUCCUUUCUGAUAGCUUUUUUUCUCCCCUUGGUAAACAGUCUCUGAGUGAGUUCAUUAAAUAUUUAAACAGCCCUGGUAUCUAUUAAUGUUAUCAGACACAUGAAAUAUGUCUGAUGGAUUUAUUCUGCCGUUAAGGAGCCAUACCCCAGUGUCCCUCCUGGGACAGUGCUCCAGCUGUUUAAACCAUAAUUCCAUCACUAGGAGGCAUGGUGAAAGCACUGACCUCUUUGAAACGGACUCAUUGCUACUCAGCCUGUAAAUUGCAAAUGAAACCUUUCUGUAAUAAUGUUAAAAUAUGCAUGCAUAGGAAUUAAGGCACUUGGGUCAUCAGCAAAGCCUGGUGCGUUUUCUGUAACCUCUAAACAGCUGGUAGAAAGAAUCCAAUAAGUCAAUUCCUUGAGAAGAUUAGCAAUUAGGGGGUGUAUGAGUCUUUUUGGGUUCAAUAGCUCUCCCAUCAUAUAUUGGGGAAAUUUAAUUAAUUCUCUGAAGCUUUUAAGUUUUUUAAAUUCCAUUACUGUUUAUUUGAUCCUGUUUCUCAAAGGAGAUAAAUUAUGUUGAUACUGUGGUCCUUACUUAUUCUCCAUAUAAUCAAUCUAAUAUGAGAUCAUGCAUGAGGUCCUUCAAACUGUGUGCUAAUUUGUUGUCUCAUUUUUACCUGCUUCAUGCUUAUGAGAAAACAACCAUGACAAAUAUGAUAAAGGAUGUCUCGCCAAGUCUUCCACAUGAAGGAAAGAGAUACUGUUGUUCACUUCUGAGAAGUCAUGGCUGAUAUGCCUGGAGAAGCUGUCCUUGCCAGCCCAGAAGUAGAUGAUGCUCGUUCCACUGUAUGAGAAAACUCUGGAAAAGAGAAUGAUAAUUAAAAUUCUUUCUGCUCAGAUGAGGAAAAACAUAAGCAAGCAGACAAACAAAAGCCAAUCAAGCAUACCUUGAAGACACUGUGGGUACAUUUUCAGACCACAACUAUAAAGUGAAUAUCACAAUAAAGUUCUAAAAUAUCUGCUGGCCAGGAGUAAUGGCUCAUACCUGCAAUCCCAACACUUCGGGAGGCCAAGGUGGGAGGAUCGCUUGAGCUCAGAAGUUUGA